AGCUUUGCAUAGUGGCAGUGUCAUAGCCAGUGAGGUUUAUCCGAGGCGAUUAUUGCUAAUUGAAAACUUUUCCCAUAGUC
rnacentral:snRNA from 1 species